GAUAACUUUGCGGAUCGCACGGUCUAGCACCGGCGACGGAUCAUUCAAGUGUCUGCCCUAUCAACUUUCGUCGGUACGGUAUUUGCCUACCGAGGUUCUUACGGGUGACGGGGAAUCAGGGUUCGAUUCCGGAGAGGGAGCCUGAGAAACGGCUACCACAUCCAAGGAAGGCAGCAGGCGCGCAAAUUACCCAUUCCCGACGCGGGGAGGUAGUGACGAAAAAUAACAAUGCAGGACUCGUUCGAGGCCCUGUAAUUGGAAUGAGUACACUUUAAAAGCUUUAACGAGUAUCCAUUGGAGGGCAAGUCUGGUGCCAGCAGCCGCGGUAAUUCCAGCUCCAAAAGUAUAUAUUUAAGUUGUUGCGGUUAAAAAGCUCGUAGUUGGAUUUUGGGCGCAGGCGGCCGGUCCGUCGCAAGGCGUGUACUGGACGUCCUGGCCUUCCCUCCGGUUCUCCGCCGGUGCUCUUGACUGAGUGUCGGCGGCGGCCGGAACGUUUACUUUGAAAAAAUUAGAGUGUUCAAAGCAGGCUCUCGAGCCUGGAUAAUGGUGCAUGGAAUAAUGGAAUAGGACCUCGGUUCUAUUUUGUUGGUUUUCGGAGCGCGAGGUAAUGAUUAAGAGGGACAGACGGGGGCAUUCGUACUGUGCCGUUAGAGGUGAAAUUCUUGGAUAGGCGCAAGACGAACGACUGCGGUAGCG
rnacentral:ncRNA from 1 species